UUCGGCGGUCAUAGCGUUGGGGAAACGCCCGGUUCCAUUCCGAACCCGGAAGCUAAGCCUAACUGCGCCGAUGGUACUGCACUCGGGAGGGUGUGGGAGAGUAGGACGCCGCCGAAA
rnacentral:rRNA from 2 species